AGAGAGAGCCUACGGGAGCAGCAGUAGGGAAUUUUCGUCAAUGGGCGCAAGCCUGAACGAGCAAUGCCGCGUGAACGAGGAAGGUCUUCGGAUCGUAAAGUUCUGUUGAAGGGGAAAAAGAGCGGAGAGAGGAAAUGGUCUCCGAUUGAUAUUACCCUUCGAGGAAGUCACGGCUAACUACGUGCC
rnacentral:rRNA from 1 species